ensembl:snRNA U4 U4 spliceosomal RNA
AGCUUUGCGCAGUGGCAGUAUCGUAGCCAAUGAGGUUUAUCCGAGGCGCGAUUAUUGCUAAUUGUGAUACAUUCCUUAGACAAUACUCUAACUGUAUCAUCAUAGCAAACCUGAUUAUUCCCACUUAGGGCCAUGGAG